GCACCCGGCUCUGCACACGGGCCGCGGGCGGUCAGUUCCCUGAAGGCGGCCCACUUGCGCCUCGGGGACGCCUCGGCGCGGAAGGGGCUGGGUGCAGCGGGAGGACACAGUGUACCGGGUGCUGGGUGCCCACGCCGUGCGCCUCCGCCGUGUGCACAGCUCCCCUCCCUCCUGUCCUGUACUCGAACCUGAGCCGUUAGCGCGCGGGUGAAAGCGGGACUUGGGAAUGCUGCUUGCAUUCCCAAACCGGUUGGAAGUGCAGACAGGUUACAACUCUGUAGCAGCCAAGGCUUAAUAAUUGUGCAGCAUCACAGUAAACCCGUGGGGUGGUUACUGAUGACGUAUCCGUUGCAUGUUGAGUACUUUUAGCGUGUAACAGGGACUGUAGGAAGUGUGUUGUGUGUGAGAUGUCACUUAAUUCUGUAGCAACCCAUAAGAUAAGGACUCUCCAGUAUUCUCAUUGUAGAGAGGAGAAACUGCAGGUCCAGAGAAGUUAAUUUGUCCAGAGUCACACAGCCAGUGAGUGGCAGAGCAGGGUGAAUGCGACCAGGCCCCAGCAGAUGCUAACGGCCCUCUAACAUAGAGACACCAAGGAGGAAGAGUAAGGAGAAGAAGCCACAAGCUUGGUCCUCAGGAAGCUCAGGGGCUGGGGGAACAGAGAGGAGGAGACCCCAUCCAGCCUGGGAGGAGCUCAGCCGAAUCGUCACUUCCUCUGGGGACCCUGUCCUGACCCCCAUGACCGUGGCUGCCUGUGGAAGGUGCUGGUAAACAUCCUGUUCUUUCCCCUCCUGGCGCUUUCCGUGCCUGUGGUAUGUAUAAACUGCGGGGACUCUUGGAUUGGUGUCUCUGCCCCUCCUCACCAACCCCUGACCACUGGAAAUGCCAAGGGCAGUCAUUGUCUGCCUCUGGAAUUGUGUCUUCAGCUUCCAGCACCGGGCCAAGUUUGCAGUAGACGCUUAAUAAAUAUUUGUCAAAUGAAUUCAUGGGGGUAAUGGCCUGGACUGCUCUUCCCUUCCCAGCCCCCACCUUGUAUGAAGGCCGACUACAAAAUGAAAGUAAACACCUCUUGACCACCCUGGAA